rnacentral:lncRNA from 1 species
AUGCCAAUACAGACAUUUUAUGUUUGUGUAGGUGGAAGAUCUCAGUCUCCCUCUAGUGUCAGUCAACAGCAGAACAAGAGUCAGACAUCAGAGCAGAACCAGAGUGAAGCGGGAGACAAGACACUGCUGUCUGGAACUUCUCAUAUUUAUGACUCUACUGAUGCAGCUAUUUAUGAAACUGUUGAUAAUGACAUAAGCACAGACGGUGUAAGUGCACCUUCUGAACUCACCUAUGCUGAGACUGAACUGAAAUCUACAAAGAAACAGAAGAAAAAAGAAAAAAAAACAAAGGUAAACUGAAAUUAAAGUCUCUGCUAUUAUGAUUUUAUGAUCAUAACAGUAGCAAAAAUCACCACAUCAUUUUCCUAAAUGUCAGUUUGUGGCAGUGAACGGUGAAAUUGAUCUGAUAUGAAAAGCUCAUUGCAUGCUUAUUACAAUUCAUUUAUUUUGAGAUCAUUUGAUCAUGUUAUCGUUUUAAAAUAAAAUAAUUGUUCUCUCUGUAGAAUUAAAAUAGACCACUGACUAGCAUAUCAAUAUAUUUAUAAAAUCUCUACUGCUAAUAUAUUUCAUACCACUGUUGGACAUACAGCUAAUGAUAUUAACUGUUGGCAUCUUUUAGAGAAUAAACCUGAGAGUUCUGAGAGCUUUUACUCUGAACUCACACUGCAAACAGAUCGAGGUGAGUCAAACUAAAAUCAUCAAUCACAGUACACACAAAAACUGCUUAUACAAGACUCAAAUAGAAUUGAAGAAUAGAAUAAAAUACUGUAUAUAAAAAUGAAAAACAUGCAUUUUGAAUUAAUUUGUAUAUAUUUUAGGUGCUGGAUCUAGUGAAGUGACUUAUGCUCAGGUUAAAUAAAAAUGUCCAGAAGAGAAACGUUCAGUCCCAGGAUGCUGAUGGGUUUCUGUUGAGAAGGAGUGGAAAUGAACCAGGAUCAUCAAUGAUCAAUAACCUUUGUGAUAUUGAGCACUUGAUGGAAAUAAAUGUAUCAGUAUUUAAUAUUAGUGAUUCAAACUGUCAUGUGCUUCAGAAAGUUUGCAUGCAAAUCUUUGAUUAUAAAUUGAGUAAAAAAAAAAAAAAAAGUAGUGCAGUGUGUUUUCUGAUACCAAUACUAGCAAAGGCAGUAGAUUAUUAUUAAAACUGAGACAACUGAAUAUUAUUUUCUGACUGUUGAGUAAGUGAACAAGUUUCAUUUUCCUGGAAAUAUUAAGGAAUUUUAAAAUUUUGAUUAUCAGGUCUGAAAAUGUUGUCUUUAAAUGUAAAUGUAUAUAGUGAAAAUGUAUUUUUACAUUUUUAUUUUGAAACUGCUAAAUAUUUUAUUGAAUAGAAAAACAUAGCUCUUUGAGUUUGCAGUCUCUUAAAAAAAAGCCUUAUCCAGCAAUAAAAAAAAGUACCUUGUAAAGACAUGGAAAUACAUUAAUCAAAAGUUAUAGCUUGCUUGUUUGUCUUAUUCUAUUUAUGUUUUCAGAAAAAAAGGUUGUGUAGAAUACUGUUUUAUAUAAAUUCCUUUCAAAAGUUUGGGGUCAGUAAGAUUUUUUAAUUUUAAAAUUAUUAUUAUUAUAUUAUUAUUAUUAUUAUUAUUAUUAUUAUUAUUAUUAUUUUUAUUAUUAUUUUGAAAGAAACUAAUACUUUUGUUCAGGAAGGAAGCAUUAAAUUGAUCAAACGUGACACUUGUAAUGUUUCAAAUAAACACGUCGAAGGAUCCUAGAAAAAAAAUCAAAUAAAUAAAUAAAAGUAUCAGGGUUUCCACAGAAAUAUGAAGCAGCACGACUGUUUUUCACAAUGACAAUAUUAGAAUGAUUUAGAAAUAUUAGAAUGAUAUUCAGCAUACUAAAAUAAUUUCUGAAGGAUCAUGUGACACUGAAGACUGAAAAUUCAGCUUAAAUUACAUUUAUAAAAUAUAUUCAAAUAGAAAACCGUUAUUAAAAAUUAUAGUAAUAUUUCACAGUAUUACUGUUUUUACUGUGUUUGGUAAAAUAAAUACAGCCUUGGUGAGCAGGAGAGCUAAAAAAAAAAAAUACUGACCCCAAAGUUUUUGAAUGGCUAUAAACUGUUAUUUUUGUAAUUUUACUUAAAUAUUCUUUGUUAAGAUAAACAAUAUCAAACAUCCUGAAUAUUCUCAGUUAUGUAUUAUUAUUAUUUCCAAAUGUAUGUUUUCAUGACAGACAGAUGUAGUGGUUUUAGGCUGCUAGGGUGCAGUGUGAGUGUGAAGAGUUGGUCGUCAUAGAAACGGCUUGAGGUGCUGUUUACUGAUAAACAAACAGCAUCUCGACAAACUGAACUUGGAAUUUAAACAUAUUUAAACUAACAAAUGCUCUUCAUCAAAUUACUUCGGUAUUAUUAUUAUUUUAGAAUAUCAGCAUACCAAAAUAUUUGUUCACUGUUUGGUUUUGAAAACUCA